AUACGGAGGGUCCGAGCGUUAUCCGGAAGCAUUGGGUUUAAAGGGUCCGUAGGCGGGAAUCUAAGUCAGUGGUGAAAUCUUGCAGCUCAACUGUAAAAUUGCCAUUGAUACUGGAUUUCUUGAAUUAGUGUGAAGUGGUUAGAAUGUGUAGUGUAGCGGUGAAAUGCAUAGAUAUUACACAGAAUACCAAUUGCGAAGGCAGAUCACUAACACUAUAUUGACGCUAAGGGACGAAAGCGUGGGGAGCGAACAGGAUUAGAAACCCCUGUAGUCC
rnacentral:rRNA from 1 species